rnacentral:rRNA from 1 species
UACAGAGGUCCCAAGCGUUGUUCGGAUUCACUGGGCGUAAAGGGUGCGUAGGCGGUCGGGUAAGUCUGACGUGAAAUCUUCAAGCUUAACUUGGAAACUGCGUCGGAUACUAUUCGGCUAGAGGAAUGGAGGGGAGACUGGAAUACUUGGUGUAGCAGUGAAAUGCGUAGAUAUCAAGUGGAACACCAGUGGCGAAGGCGGCUCUCUGGGACGGUACUGACGCUGAGACGCGAAAGCGUGGGGAGCGAACAGG